AUGCUUUCAAAUGAGAGGAAAAUUUAUAAAUGCAUUUUUAUAAAUGCAUUUUUAUCUCAAAUGUCAAAAACUAUGGCACUGUAUUACAAACACACUGAUAAACACAAUCUAUAAUUUCUUCUAUUUAUGGCACUGAAUUCUUCUAAAGUAAAUAAAAAACAUUUUACUUUUUGAGUAUAUGAAAUUUCACAAAAAGUAAAAUUUCAGAGAUUGUCAAAGAAAUGUUAAUAUUCCCUUGAUAAGAAUGAAUGACAAUAUUUUCCAAAUGUUCAAGUGAACAACUUUCAAAUCCUUUUUUUUGGAAAGUGGUGUUCAGAGACCACAUUCCAAGUGCUAUUGGUGCUACAUGGUGAGCCUGAUCCUUUCAGUAACAAAGCUAGAAACUACUUCAUAGGUUAUUUUUUUCUAAGAAAUUAAUAGUAAUUUUAUAUUGUAAAGGGUUUUUAACUUUAAAAUCAUGCUUACUCCAGUGGAACUUAUAUUCUCAUGAGUGGAGACAGACUUUGAAAGUAUUACACUUUACUCAGUGAUUACUCUCCAUAUCAGAAGCAGAAAUAUAAUUUAAUUCUCGAAUGUGCUUAUGAUUUUCUCCUAUUGCAUGCAUUAGUCUUCUCAACUCUCCUUAUGCAAAGUACUGUUCAGAAAUAACACCAUCAUUCAUUCAGAUUUUGUGACAAGAGCCAGUCAAUUAAACUUGGUUAUAUCACCUUUAAUCUUUCAUAUUCUACAAAAGUGAGUAUUUCUUUUGGAUAUCCUUAUCAUCUUGGACUCACAGUGGCCAAGCAAACUUCUCAUAAAGAUGACAGAGUUUCUGCUAAUUAUCUUUAAAAAGAUUUAAUGAAUAGCAUUACAAUAAUUUAUCUUACAUUUCCUUCUGAAUAAUUACCAUUGUGACUCACUAAGAGGAAGAGGAAAAAUAGAAGACAUCUUCUAUCAUAUCCCAUUGUCCUUUUCUUCUCGAGGUAUUUAGUCAUAAUAUAAAUUAUUUUAAUGUGAAUAUUUAAUUUAAUGAAAUGAAAAUUGCAGUGAUGACAAAUGCAUACGAUUUUAACUGCAAGUAAUAAAACUCAACGCAAGACUUUUACUAAAGUAUGUAAAACACCAUCCUGAAUGAAAAUACUGUAGAAAUUUGUGGCAUGACUUUAUUAUUGAAAAAUCUCAAUCAAUAAACUAUCUGUAAUUUCAGUGAGUAUGCCAUCAAAUAAGGUGAUAUUGCCUAUUGCAGAUGUUACAAAAACAAAUUCCAAAGGCAUUUUUUCCUUUAAAGGUUGAAUAUGUUGCCAUAUAUUAACUGUUUAUAGUCAAAACCAUAGAUAAAUAUUUUUAAAUAUAUAAAAUUCAUGAAAUGAUGUAUACAAGAUGAAUACUUUAUAUUGCAUAUAUGUAUUUGUGGGCAUUAAGCAACCAUAUAUUGGCACAUAUUGAUUGACCAACUAAAUUAAAAUCAUAGUUUUCCACACACUUAAACUAUGCUUAUGUUGCAGAAACAGCUAUAUUAUCCUUGAAGGAGGGAAAAGUAAUUAAAA
rnacentral:lncRNA from 1 species